CCUACGGGAGGCAGCAGUGAGGAAUAUUGGUCAAUGGACGAGAGUCUGAACCAGCCAAGUAGCGUGAAGGAUGACUGCCCUAUGGGUUGUAAACUUCUUUUAUAUGGGAAUAAAAUGUUCCACGUGUGGGAUUUUGUAUGUACCAUAUGAAUAAGGAUCGGAUAACUCCGUGCCAGCAGCCGCGGUAAUACGGAGGAUCCGAGCGUUAUCCGGAUUUAUUGGGUUUAAAGGGAGCGUAGGUUGAUUGUUAAAUUAGUUGUUAAAGUUUGCGGCUCAACCCUAAAAUUGCAGUUGAUACUGGCGAUCUUGAGUACAGUAGAGGUAGGCGGAAUGCGUGGUGUAGCGGUGAAAUGCUUAGAUAUCACGCAGAACCCCGAUUGCGAAGGCAGCUCACUGGACUGCAACUGACACUGAGGCACGAAAGUGUGGGUAUCAAACAGGAUUAGAUACCCCAGUAGUC
rnacentral:rRNA from 1 species